rnacentral:rRNA from 1 species
CCUACGGGAGGCAGCAGUGAGGAAUAUUGGUCAAUGGGCGAGAGCCUGAACCAGCCAAGUCGCGUGAGGGAUGACGGUCCUAUGGAUUGUAAACCUCUUUUGUAGAGGAGUAAAAUGCGGUACGUGUACCGUAUUGAGUGUACCUUGUGAAUAAGUAUCGGCUAACUCCGUGCCAGCAGCCGCGGUAAUACGGAGGAUGCGAGCGUUAUCCGGAUUUAUUGGGGUUAAAGGGUGCGUAGGGGGGCGAGUAAGUCAGGCGUGAAAGUUUGGGGCUCAACCCUGGAAAAGCAGUUGAUACUGGCAGGCUAGAGUAGGGGAGAGGUAGGCGGAAUGCGUGGUGUAGCGGUGAAAUGCGUAGAUAUCACGAAGAACUCCGAUUGCGAAGGCAGCAUACCAGAGCGCAACUGACACUGAGGCGCGAAAGCGUGGGUAUCAAACAGGAUUAGAUACCCGGGUAGUC